UGAGGAAUCUUGCGCAAUGGGGGAAACCCUGACGCAGCCAUGCCGCGUGGGUGAAGAAGGCCUUCGGGUCGUAAAGCCCUGUCAGGAGGGAAGAACCUCCUUUGGUCCAAUAGGCCGAAGGACUGACGGUACCUCCAAAGGAAGCACCGGCUAACUCCGUGCCAGCAGCCGCGGUAAUACGGAGGGUGCAAGCGUUGUUCGGAAUUACUGGGCGUAAAGGGUGUGCAGGCGGCCGGAUAAGUCCUAUGUGAAAUCCCUGGGCUCAACUCAGGACGUGCAUAGGAUACUGUUCGGCUUGAGUCCCGGAGAGGGGGGUGGAAUUCCCGGUGUAGAGGUGAAAUUCGUAGAUAUCGGGAGGAACACCAGUGGCGAAGGCGACCCCCUGGACGGAGACUGACGCUGAGACACGAAAGCGUGGGGAGCAAACA
rnacentral:rRNA from 1 species